UACGUGUAGUUCUUGGAAACUUCGUAUAACUUCCUCAAUUGAGAGAUAACUGCAAAUCAGUUCCAAUCGUUUCCCCUAAUUAGUUUUGUUCUUCCGACUACGAAGAAGAGACGUAUUUUGUUCUCUCAAUUGCUAGAAACAUGGUGAGGUUUAGGAGGGAGACAAAUCCACUAAAUAGUGGUAUUGGCGGUCGAUUUUAAAACUUACGAGUACCGAAUCCUUUUCUGACGAGAUUUCCAUUUCUGAUUUACGGAUUUUGGUUAUGGGGUUUCACGUACCUCCUCACAAAAGACAGAAGAAAAUACGCAUAUAUAUCUGUCUGCUCUCCAACUCCCCGUGUUCUCAUGGGUAUUCCUGCUCUCCUAAAUAUAUUUUUUCAAUCUCAUUUGACUUGGUGGUAUUAUUUCUCUCGCGGAUUCUUUUUUCUUUUCUUUUUUCCACUGAUCAUGUGAGAAUUAUUAUCAUUAUUUUUAUUUUAUUUUUGGUUGCAUUCAUGUUUUGGUUGCUGCUGGGGUUUACCUUACUUCAUAUAUAUAUUUAUUCUAACCAUUGUAGAAGUUUCCUUUCCUGACUCAGUUGUUUUCAAUUCCUUACUGCUGGGUUUAGGGCCCUCAACCAUACCGACGGCCUUUCCAGGGGUGUUUCAGAUGUGAUUUAUGAAUUCUCUACUAGGGAUGGUGCAACACUUGACAGGCAUAUGGAUGUCGACAAGGUUUGAUCCGGAGCAGUAUAUGGUGCAGAAGUAGGCAGGUUUGAUCCGGAGCAGCCUAGAUUUGAAAAAGGAAUGCGGCCACAAAAGCAAGUAACAAUUUGGUUUGCAAUGGAUGUACAAAACAAGUGGGAACAUAUGGAAAUGAGUACGUUUGCUGAUCAUGCAUUGAGAAUCUAUUUGAAUUUUUGGUCUACCUUGAUGAAAGUUUGUGUAUUGUUUGAAGGAAAUGCAGGUUCCAUGUCAAAUUUGGUUAAUGAAAAAUGUCCAAUAGUAGAGAUUUUGUGUUGUAUUGUUAGUUAGUAAGUUUGUUGAUUACUGCUACCCUCAAAGAAGCGCUAAAAGUUUUUGGAAGUGUCAGUUAGGAUUAAAUAUAAAAAAUCAUUUUUUGAAUGUGCUCAUAGGGACUCCUGGAGUGCUACAGGGUGCUGCAAUAUCACUGCAUGUUGGUAGUAAUUGCAGUUAUAUUUAUGCCCUUUUGUUUUGCCUCACUUAUUGUGUAAGUGAGAGUCGUGUCAUGAAAUUUAUCUAUUUUGUUAAUAAAUCAUCACAAUUUAUUCAUUGUUAAA